rnacentral:rRNA from 1 species
UACAGAGGUCUCAAGCGUUGUUCGGAUUCAUUGGGCGUAAAGGGUGCGUAGGUGGCGCGGUAAGUCGGGUGUGAAAUCUCGGAGCUUAACUCCGAAACUGCAUUCGAUACUGCCGUGCUUGAGGACUGGAGAGGAGACUGGAAUUUACGGUGUAGCGGUGAAAUUCGUAGAUAUUCGCAAGAACACCAGUGGCGAAGGCGGACUCACUGGCCCGGUACUGACGCUGAGGCACGAAAGCGUGGGGAGCAAACAGG